rnacentral:rRNA from 1 species
CUACGGGGGGCAGCAGUGGGGAAUAUUGCACAAUGGGCGCAAGCCUGAUGCAGCCAUGCCGCGUGUAUGAAGAAGGCCUUCGGGUUGUAAAGUACUUUCAGCGGGGAGGAAGGGAGUAAAGUUAAUACCUUUGCUCAUUGACGUUACCCGCAGAAGAAGCACCGGCUAACUCCGUGCCAGCAGCCGCGGUAAUACGGAGAGUGCAAGCGUUAAUCGGAAUUACUGGGCGUAAAGCGCACGCAGGCGGUUUGUUAAGUCAGAUGUGAAAUCCCCGGGCUCAACCUGGGAACUGCAUCUGAUACUGGCAAGCCUGAGUCUCGUAGAGGGGGGUAGAAUUCCAGGUGUAGCGGUGAAAUGCGUAGAGAUCUGGAGGAAUACCGGUGGCGAAGGCGGCCCCCUGGACGAAGACUGACGCUCAGGUGCGAAAGCGUGGGGAGCAAACAGGAUUAGAUACCCCCGUAGUC